GCUGCGUGUGGUGGUGUGUGCCUGUAGUCCCAGCUACUCCAGAGGCUGAGGUGGGAGGAUCACUUGAGCCCAGGAGUUCUGGGCUGUAGUGCACCCAGAACUAUGCCAAUCGGGUGUCUGCACUAAGUUUGGCAUCAAUAUGGUGACCUCCUGGGGUCAGGGGACCACCAGGUUGCCUAAGGAGGGGUGAACCGGCACAGGUUGGAAAUGGAGCAGGCCAAAACUCCCAUGCUGAUCAGUAGUGGGAUCACGCCUGUGAGUAGCCACUGCACUCCAGCCUGGGCAACAUAGCGAGACCCCAUCUUU
rnacentral:SRP_RNA from 1 species